UCCUGUCCAGGGGUCUGAGAG
rnacentral:misc_RNA from 1 species